rnacentral:tRNA from 1 species
GCACCUGUGGAACAGUCCGGAAUGUUCGCCGCCCUGUCACGGCGGAGGUCGCGGGUUCAAAUCCCGUCUGGUGCGC